rnacentral:rRNA from 1 species
GACGUAGGGACCAAGCGUUGUUCGGAUUUACUGGGCGUAAAGGGCGCGUAGGCGGCCUGGCAAGUGACGGGUGAAAGCCCUCGGCUCAACCGAGGAACUGCGUGUCAUACUGCCGGGCUUGAGUCCGGGAGAGGUGCGUGGAAUUCCCAGUGUAGCGGUGAAAUGCGUAGAUAUUGGGAGGAACACCAGUGGCGAAGGCGGUGCACUGGACCGGAACUGACGCUGAGGCGCGAAAGCGUGGGGAGCAAACAGG